CUUCCUCGCUCUGCUUCUCCACCCGCCGUGGGAGCCGUUUUCCUCAGCCCAGCUCUGUUGAUGCUCAUUCUGGGCCCGGUCCCAAAGUAAGCUGCUCACAACGGUGGACUAGACCGGUACUCGUCAAUGCCAUACUUGGACCCCUCGCGCCCAAGGCCGGACUGUUUCACCCCACCAAAAGGACAUUCCACUGAAGAGAUGAGCCCUUCAUUCACACCGACCAUGCCGACCUCCAGCUGCUCCGCCACUCUCCAGAUCUGGGCCGGGUCUUGAGAGUAAAAGUAACCUAGCAGGGGAACAAAGGCAGGCAGACGGUUUGAGGAAUUCUCCUGAAAGUCACACGCGCCAGCCUCUGAGGGUGCCUGCCUGGUCACAGAGGCCCCGGGGUUCUCCUGCUUGCAGGUAAAGAAAGGCCCAGGUUGGUUUUGUCCACAUUUUCAUCCUAACAUCACGUUAAGCGUCUGUUUCUCUCUUGUUGGGGUCCUCCCCAGUCCCACUGGGCCUUUGUAAGCAUGCGCGUCUGUGCUCUCCUCCUGCUCGUCAGCCCCUCCUCCUUCAGAGGGCAGGAUGCUUCUUUAAGCCUUGCGGUCGAUCCUAGUUGUCUAUAAAACAAGCCCACAUUGCUCAGUCCUGCCUCAGAGUGUGGCUGGGUCAGCAUUUUCAGCUUACUCCUGACUGUAAUUCAGAACUUAAGAUUAAUGCUCAAAAGGCGGAGGCUGGCCUUGACUUGCAUCAUGACAACGGUGGCCGCCAGUCAGAAAACCUACCUGCCAAUCCAACCUCAGCUGCAUUUGCGAUGGCGACGGCCUCUUCCUCCUUAUCAAACCUGCCGGAGUUAAAGCAGGUCAUGAGCAAAAUCUGUGAGCUGAGGAAUAGAGAAAACCAGCUUUAUGUUCUCCCGAUUCACUUCCUAAAUACUGACAAGGAGAAGGUCAGAGUUGCAAAGCGAUCGAAGGGGAGGAGAAAUGAGUGGAGUAGAAGUGCAGACAUGGUAACUCAGCCUUCUCCAAGACCUGGUAAAGCAACGUGGCCCACCUUCUCUGAGAGAGGGAAAAGCGGACCAACCGAGGAGAGACAUCGUCAAACAAAAUCCUUUAAGGAAAGGACUGCUAGGUGCAGUGCUGGCUCAUUAGUUAACAGCACUUGUUGCUCUUGCAGAGGACCUGGGUUUGACUCCCAGCACCCACAUGGUGGCUCACAACUCUUAACUCCAGUCCCAGCAGAUCUGACAUCUUCUUCUGAGCCCUUCCAGGUCCUGGAUCUAAGUAGAAAACGGAAUAUUUUCAGACCACUGAUCUGCGAAUUAUCCAGGCAAAUGAUUAUUUAUUAAGGUGGGAUAAAAGAUUAUACAAGGUUAUAGUUCAUUUCCUAUAGACUGAGAGGAUAGAGGCCUUGAGGGUAUUAGAAAAAUACUCUUAGAAAUCAGUGGGGGAAAGUAAGUUUAGAGGCAUUAAGAAAUCUAAAUGAGGGAUUUUGAUGAAUUUUGUGCUUAAAAUUGGGUAUGGUGUAUGCCUAUAGGGGAGGCUAAAGCAAGAAAGUUGAGAGUUUAAGGCCAGCCUGGGUUACAGAAGGCCUUGUUUCAAACAGACAAACACCCAAAACUAAAACCAACAAUAACCACCUUCCACACCACUCAACACAGACAAAACACAAACACCAAAAACUGGGGCUAGGACUAGGGAGACCUGGCUCUGUUGGUAAAUGCUGAGUUCGAUCCCCCAGAACCCGUAUGAAAACUCAGUCGUGGUGGCCUGUGCUUGGGAUCCCAGGUCUAACCAACCUACUCUACCUGGAGAGUCCUGGGUUGCAGUGAGAGACCCUGUCUCCAAGUUUAAGGUGGACAGCUCCCAAGAAGUAACACCCAGGGCUGACCGAUAUGUGCACCUGAAUACACAAACUCCAAAAUCAAACCCCAACUAUCAUAAAGCCGACUCUGCUGCUUGACUCUGACUGUUCAACUCUGUUUGACUCUGCUAUGCAGCUGACUGCAUCUGCUCAGCCUUCCUAUCUCUCUCUCUCUCUCUCUCUCUCCCUCUCUCUCCCUCUCUCUCUCUCUUAGACUAGCUUUUCCUUCUCUAGCGUCUCCUUCCUUCCACUACUGGAGGAACGUACUUGAUGACUGGUGCCAGAGGUCCAAAGGUCUCCUCAGUGAUGCAGAGCAUGUCCCUGGUGACAUUGCUGAGCAGGGUGGGCUCAAAGAAAUUUCCUCCACUUUGGUGUCGCUUUCCGCCCGUCACAACCGUGGCCCCUUUGGCAACUGCGUCAUUCACCUGCUUCUCUACCUGAGAGAUGAGAAGAAGGGCACCAGGGAAAGCUGGAUAGGGACAUUUUCCAAACUGUACAAUCCCUUAAAAUGUUAAACAGCAAAAAACCAGUCAAGACUCGAUUCCUGGGAAUCACAUGGUGGAAGGAGAGAACGGACUCUGGAUAGCCCAUCGCUUUUCUGAGCUUUGCAUUUACGGAUGCUGGGCUGGUUGUACUCUUAGACCACUUGUCUACUUCUGUCUGGGUUGAAGAGAUGUUUGGAUACAUCUCAAAUAUAAUGGCAUUGCUUACCCAUGACAGAUGUUCGGUCUCAGAAAUGUGUUCUUAGCUAAUUUCACUAUUGAAUAAACAUCAUACAAUAUUUUGAUAUAAACCC
ensembl:antisense 4932702P03Rik RIKEN cDNA 4932702P03 gene